CCAACAUCCAUAAUGGAGUCAACUGGAUGGUUGAAGGAUGAGGUUCAACAGGCCAGGCCUGGACCCAUCCUGAAAAAUUGAAGAUGUAGGACUAGGAUUUGAACCCGGCCCUCCAGGAUGGCAAGCCACAGCUUUGCCAUGUGAUCAUCUAACCCAUGUGUCAGUCCAGAGGUCCUACAGUUGAUUUUAUGAAGUGUUGUUAUCUGAACAUAAAAAUCUUUCAUGAAUAUGUUCAUUAUCUGAUUCAGGGCUGUCCAAUUAUAAUGACCCCAAAGACUGCAACCAUUGUUAUUAGAGAUACAGAGGGCCGCAGCUACAAAAAAGAGAGAGUUGAUACCCCUCCCCCUCUUUUUUGUAGC
rnacentral:lncRNA from 1 species